rnacentral:rRNA from 1 species
CGGUUACCUUGUUACGACUUCACCCCAGUCACCAGACCUGCCUUCGGCAGCUCCCUCCUUCCGGUUGGGCCACUGACUUCGGGCAUUUCCGGCUCCCAUGGUGUGACGGGCGGUGUGUACAAGACCCGGGAACGUAUUCACCGCGACAUUCUGAUCCGCGAUUACUAGCGAUUCCGGCUUCAUGUAGUCGGGUUGCAGACUACAAUCCGAACUGGGGCGCCGUUUUUGGGAUUUGCUCCACGUCGCCGCUUCGCUUCCCUUUGUCGGCGCCAUUGUAGCACGUGUGUAGCCCAAGCCAUAAGGGGCAUGAUGAUUUGACGUCGUCCCCGCCUUCCUCCGGGUUGUCCCCGGCAGUCUCCCCAGAGUGCCCGCCGCUGCGCGCUGGCUACUGGGGACAGGGGUUGCGCUCGUUGCGGGACUUAACCCAACAUCUCACGACACGAGCUGACGACAACCAUGCACCACCUGUCUUUCCUGCCCCAAAGGGAACAUACAUUACAUAUGCUGC